rnacentral:tRNA from 1 species
GGGGUAUUAGUUUAAUGGUUAGAAUAUUUAGUUUGCACCUAAAUGCUUGCUGGUUCGAUUCCUGCAUACUCCA